AGGGGCAGCAUUUCAGUUUGCUUGCAAACUGGAGAUGGCGACCGGCGCACGGGUGAGUAACACGUAUCCAACCUGCCGAUAACUCGGGGAUAGCCUUUCGAAAGAAAGAUUAAUACCCGAUGGUAUAAUCAGACCGCAUGGUCUUGUUAUUAAAGAAUUUCGGUUAUCGAUGGGGAUGCGUUCCAUUAGGCAGUUGGUGAGGUAACGGCUCACCAAACCUUCGAUGGAUAGGGGUUCUGAGAGGAAGGUCCCCACAUUGGAACUGAGACACGGUCCAAACUCC
rnacentral:rRNA from 1 species